AUAUUGGACAAUGGGCGAAAGCCUGAUCCAGCCAUGCCGCGUGUGUGAAGAAGGUCUUCGGAUUGUAAAGCACUUUAAGUUGGGAGGAAGGGCAGUAAGUUAAUACCUUGCUGUUUUGACGUUACCAACAGAAUAAGCACCGGCUAACUUCGUGCCAGCAGCCGCGGUAAUACGAAGG
rnacentral:rRNA from 1 species